CGCGGGGUGGAGCAGCUUGGUAGCUCGUCGGGACUCAUAACCCGAAGGUCGUUGGUUCAAAUCCGGCCCCCGCAACCA
rnacentral:tRNA from 1 species